rnacentral:rRNA from 1 species
GAUGAACGCUAGCUACAGGCUUAACACAUGCAAGUCGCGGGGCAGCAUGGAUGUCCUUUCGGGGACAUCUGAUGGCGACCGGCGUACGGGUGAGUAACGCGUAUCCAACCUGCCCUUUACAACGGGACAGCCCGUCGAAAGGCGGAUUAAUACCGUAUGUUGUCAUGUUGAUGCAUAUUUUCAUGACCAAAGGCUUCGGCCGGUAAAGGAUGGGGAUGCGUCUGAUUAGCUUGCCGGCGGGGUAACGGCCCACCGGGGCGACGAUCAGUAGGGGUUCUGAGAGGAAGGUCCCCCACAUUGGUACUGAGACACGGACCAG